rnacentral:tRNA from 1 species
GGGGCUAUAGCUCAGUUGGUAGAGCACCUGCAUGGCAUGCAGGGGGUCAGGAGUUCAAAUCUCCUUAGCUCCACC